GGAUGUUUUACUUGUUAUGCUUUUUGUCACUUAAUAAAGGUGAAAUAGACCAGAGGAGCCAUUCAGUCACCUACGCAGCAUCGCUGCAGAUGAGCUUACAGUUGGUCUGCUGGAGAACCUGUGGACUGAAAGGUUACUCCCCAGCAGUAUUAAACCAAAAAUAAACUAGUGAUUUUCCUGAGCAAGAGAGUGAGGUAAAAGUCAGUGCUUUGGUGUUUGGUGGAGCUCAGUGACUUCUGGUGUCACCCAGGGUUUUGGAAGUCAGCUUUGCUGCUGCUUUUCUUUCAACAUAAUUGUUUCCAUCAGGAAAAUAUGGGUUCUAAAUCCAAAUACUAACAUUUUAUUCUCUCACCACAUGUAAAUGAAUAUAUGAGUUAUGGAAAAUUAAAACGAUUUUCUUGGGGUAGUUUACAGAACGUAACACAUCCAUCGCACUGCUAUUUAUAAACACGGAGAGAAAAGUGACUGUCUCUGUUCAGACAGCCAGCUGACGAUGUGGCUUACAAGACAUAAAGCACUUCCCUCAUAAUGUUUGCAUUUGUGGGGAUACUUCUUUUUCUUAUGCUUUGUCACACAUUGAUUUUGAAUGACUGAUCUCUUGCACGACAGCCUGCGUGGCUGUGAUACAGCUGGCAGGCAACCAUUCAUUAAUUUUUACAUAAAUAAGUUAAAGUAACAGUGAUUGAAACGGCAGCUAUAUUAAACAUGAUAUAAAUAACCUGACUUACGUAAAGAUGGUUAUAAUGAAAACUCAAAUUCACCUACAGGUUCUGUAACACCUCAUCCAUUAUCUUUUCUUGAAUUGGCAGAAGAGUAUUUUUUUCAUCCUUGAAGUCACCUGUUCAUUUCCUAAAACCAUAAAGAACAGGACAGCAUGUUACUGUAUAUACAUGCAGAUUUCCUGGAUAACACGAGAUCAAUUUCAACACUGAGUUUAUUUUUUUCCAUUUCAAGAAGCAGGUGGUAUCUCCACUAAGUGCUUGCAUGAAUUCAUGAAUUCACAGCUGAUGUAAAUCAGCAAAUCUUCAUUGUCUCCUAUCUAGGUGCAGUAUAACUUCAGGAAAUACCAGGCUCCUCAGAUGAAACCAUCAUACCCUUUUUAUGCAGAAAUUUCACACAAACUUAUCUUGAACAACUUGAAGUGUUUAGGGUUUUUGCACUACAAUGAUGGUAUAGCUACGUCAGAUAAAACAGAAAAAUGUAUUUUAUAUUCAUAUGUAUUACUUAAUACAAGUGCUAUUCCAACCACGCUGCUCAUCCCAGGAACUGAAGUAAUCCACAUCCUCAUGGGAGAAAUUGAAGUCUGGACCAACCCUAGUGCACCUCCCACUCCACAUCCUUGGAGCAAGACAUUCUUCCAUUUUUCUUCAAACUGUAAAUGCUGUAUGAAGCACCGUAACAGAAUAUAUUGCUCCUGCUUUGCUCCAUAACAUCUUAGUAUGUUUCCUGACCACUCCACAAAGAUAUUCCUUCUCUGUGACAACUCUGAGAAGUCAUUCUCUAUCACUGUUGUUUGGAAAUUACUACCUAAGGGAUCAGAAAAUUCAUUUCCAAUGGAUGGGACAGCCUAAAUCUUCAUAAAUUCUGUGAACUUUGCAACUCUGUUACAGACCCAGUUGAACGUCUGGAUGUCUCACAACUUGGUACGUCCAAGUUUAGGAUAUGUUCUUAGGUGCAAAUCCACUAAUAUAAUAGUAGGAAAUUAUUUAGCUACAGGUACCUAGAGCUGUUUCCUUUUUGGACUACAGAAGUUAACAGUGAUUACAAAAACCUGUCAUGCCUUUAAUUUGUUUUAAAGAUACAAUACUCCUCCCUACCUUUUAAUAACACUACACCCUGCGCUCUUUCCAAAGUUCUAUAAAUGGCCUUAAAAAGAGAACUCUGAAUCUGUGAAAUGUGGCAAGUUGACUCAACAUCUGGAAGUACUCUCGGGGCUGUCUUUGCUUUUCACAAGACAGUGAAAAACUGGGCUGUAUGAUUUCUUGAUAUUCGUACAAGGAAUACCUAGUAGCAUCAUUGAUAGUAAGCAAAACAUUACAUUUUCUACACUGGAGAUUGAUGUUUCAAUGUUUGGGUUUGAGCAUUUCCUGACAUGCUGUUACCAAUGCAUAAUGUUAGGAGCUGUUUGUUUUUAUUUUGUAACUGGAGGAGGUAAUCUAAUACUCAUUGGGUAAUCUUUAUUGGGCCAUCUC